rnacentral:rRNA from 1 species
GCGAAGCGGGAAGAGCUCAAAUUUAUAAUCUGGCACCUUCGGUGUCCGAGUUGUAAUCUCUAGAAGUGUUUUCCGCGUUGGACCGCACACMAGUCUGUUGGAAUACAGCGGCAUAGUGGUGAAACCCCCGUAUAUGGUGCGGACGCCCAGCGCUUUGUGAUACACUUUCAAUGAGUCGAGUUGUUUGGGAAUGCAGCUCAAAUUGGGUGGUAAAUUCCAUCUAAAGCUAAAUAUUGGCGAGAGACCGAUAGCGAACAAGUACCGUGAGGGAAAGAUGAAAAGCACUUUGGAAAGAGAGUUAACAGUACGUGAAAUUGUUGGAAGGGAAACGCUUGAAGUCAGACUUGCUUGCCGGAGCUUGCUUCGGUUUGCAGGCCAGCAUCAGUUUUCCGGGGUGGAUAAUGACGGUUUGAAGGUAGCAGUCUCGGCUGUGUUAUAGCUUUCCGUUGGAUACAUCCUGGGGGACUGAGGAACGCAGCGUGCUUUUUGCGAAAGACUCGUCUUUUUCACGCUUAGGAU